rnacentral:rRNA from 1 species
UGCCAGCAGCCGCGGUAAUACGGAGGGGGUUAGCGUUGUUCGGAAUUACUGGGCGUAAAGCGCACGUAGGCGGACUAUUAAGUCAGGGGUGAAAUCCCGGGGCUCAACCCCGGAACUGCCUUUGAUACUGGUAGUCUAGAGUUCGAGAGAGGUGAGUGGAAUUCCGAGUGUAGAGGUGAAAGUCGUAGAUAUUCGGAGGAACACCAGUGGCGAAGGCGGAUCACUGGCUCGAUACUGAAGCUGAGGUGCGAAAGCGUGGGGAGAAAACAGGAUUAGAUA